rnacentral:rRNA from 1 species
AUUUAAUCGAAUAAAGUUCUGGGUAAAAUUAUGAUAAUGACAUUGUUUAUCUAUGAGUCUUGACCAAAUUACGUGCCAGCUAACGCGGUAAUACGUAGAAGACUAGUGUUAUUCAUCUUUAAUAGGUUUAAAGGGUACCUAGACGGCAUAUUAAGCCUUAAUUGGAACUGACAUGCUAGAGUUACUUAUGAGGAAGUUUUAAUGUACUAGAGGUGUAGAGAUGAAAUUCAGUCAUACCUUUUUUCUAACGAAAAAUUUCGGCACAGGUAUAGGUGAAAACAUCUUCUUAUGGGAUAACUGACGUUGAGGGACGAAGGCUUUUUAUCGCGAACAGGAUUAGAUACCCUGGUAGUCAAAGCAGAAAAUGAUGAGUGUCAUAGAUUAGAUAAAAAUUUAUUCUAUAAAUGAAAGUGUAAGCACUCCACCUCAAGAGUAAUUUGGCAACAUUGGAACUGAAAUCAUUAAACCGUAUCUGAAACCAGGAGUGAAGUAUGUUAUUUAAUUUGAUAAUCCGCAAAAAACCUUACCACAACUUGAAUAUUUAUUUAUUCACUUUAUCACAAGUUUUGUGUGCAGUCCAGUAUAUAAUCUAGGCUGUUAUUUAAACAAUUAAGCUAUUAUGUGAUAAGUGAAACCCUAUAGAUACCAAGUGUUGCACGGCUGUCUUCAGUUAAUGUCGUGAGACUAUGGUUAGCUCCAG